CAGCUUACUUGUUUAUUACUCUUAAUAGUCAGCAUGAAUUGGUUAUGAGCCAGCUUGUGCCCAGGCAGCCAAGGCGGCCACCAGCAUCCUCAUCUGUAUCAGCACCAGUGCAGCAGCAGGGCCAGGGCAGUGACUGUCCACCUGCACUGGGCACUGGUGAGGCUGCGCCUCAAAUCCUGUGUCAGUUCUGGGCCCCUCCCUACAAGAGAGACAUUGAGGUGCUGGAGCGGGGCCAGAGAAGGGCACCGGAGCUGGUGCAGGGCCUGGAGCACAAGUGUGAUGAGGAACGGCUGAGGGACCUGGGGGGUUUAGUCUGGAGAAGAGAAGGCUCAGGGGGGACCUGAUCGCUCUCUGCAACUGCCUGACAGGAGGAUGGAGCCAGGAGGGGCUGGUCUCUGCUCCCAAGGAACAAGGGAUGGGACAAGAGGAAACGGCCUCAAGUUGCAGCAGGGCAGGUUUAGAUGGAGAUGAGGAACAAUUCCUUCCCCAGAGGGUGCUCAGGCAUUGGAACAGGCUGCCCAGGGCAGGGCUGGAGUCACCGGCCCUGCAAGUGUUCACACCCCGUGUAGCCGAGGCCUCAGUGCCAUGGGUUAGUGGUGGCCUUGGCAGUGCUGGGGAACGUUUGCACUUGAUGAUCUUAAAGGUCUUUUCCAACGUGGUUGAUUCUAUGAUUCCAUUACCUGCCAGCAGCACAUCCCAUCACUGAGGUGCUCUUUGUUUUGCACAUACACACAUGGUGCACGUCCCCACAUGGGCAGAGCUGUGUGAUCUCCCCACUGCCGUCCUCUGCCUCUGAUUCCCACUUCCCUCCCUCCUCUCAGAAGACGCAGGCAGCCAAGCGGCCCCGGCAGAGCCCAGCCCUCUGCCAGCACAGCAGCCUGCUGAAGCUCUGGCGUAAGAUCGACGAGGACCACAGCGACAGACAGCUCUUCCACCACACCAAGUGCACCUGCUCGUCUCUGUGGAACACCGGACACGACCCGGGGGCAGGCACUGAGUUCUGUGCGCUCUGUUACCUCAGCGCCCGGCGGCGGCGGGCGAGGCAGAGAGCAGCCAUGGAAGCCAGGCGACGAUCGUGGCUGGACGACAGCACCACAGGCCUGUGAAUGCCGUGGUCUUGAGCCGGGUCUGCUGUAUGAAACGCGAAAUAAAAGCAAGUAAAAGCAGCUUUAUCGCCUCUUCCCGCCCCACACGGCGCCGCCGCCUUCCCUGAGGUACCGGCCGCCCCUUCC
rnacentral:lncRNA from 1 species